GGGGAAUAUUGCACAAUGGGCGAAAGCCUGAUGCAGCGACGCCGCGUGAGGGAUGAAGGCCUUCGGGUUGUAAACCUCUUUUAGUAGGGAAGAAGCGAAAGUGACGGUACCUGCAGAAAAAGCACCGGCUAACUACGUGCCAGCAGCCGCGGUAAUACGUAGGGUGCAAGCGUUAUCCGGAAUUAUUGGGCGUAAAGAGCUCGUAGGCGGUUUGUCGCGUCUGCUGUGAAAACCCGAGGCUCAACCUCGGGCCUGCAGUGGGUACGGGCAGACUAGAGUGCGGUAGGGGAGAUUGGAAUUCCUGGUGUAGCGGUGGAAUGCGCAGAUAACAGGAGGAACACCGAUGGCGAAGGCAGAUCUCUGGGCCGUAACUGACGCUGAGGAGCGAAAGCAUGGGGAGCGAAC
rnacentral:rRNA from 1 species